GAAUGCAGUCAGACACACUCAAGAAUAUCGCUAUACGAGUAUAAGCUCAACCUAAUUUGAUAUUCUACAUAGUUGAAGAAGACUAAAUCUCAAACAUGAAGCUCGCACUGAUUCUUGUGGCCGCUUUAGCAGUCGCUGCACAACCACCUCAUCCGUGGCAAGUCCCUGGCAGCGGUUAGGUCAAGUGCAGAGAUGUCAUUGGUCGAACACACCUUCUAUUUUAGCUACAUCAGUUAGGAUGAAUUGAUGUGUAUCUC